rnacentral:rRNA from 1 species
UACGAAGGGGGCAAGCGUUGUUCGGAAUUACUGGGCGUAAAGGGCGCGUAGGCGGCUUAGCAAGUCAGGCGUGAAAUUCCCGGGCUCAACCUGGGGGCUGCGCUUGAUACUGGUGAGCUUGAAUGCGGGAGAGGAUAGUGGAAUUCCCAGUGUAGAGGUGAAAUUCGUAGAUAUUGGGAAGAACACCGGUGGCGAAGGCGGCUAUCUGGCCCGUAAUUGACGCUGAGGCGCGAAAGCGUGGGGAGCAAACAGG